AGAUGAAAAAAUCGUUUCCCAAAAAAAAUACUUUUUCCUUUUCAGCCCUUAGUAAUGAUUCUAAUUCCCCCCAAAAAAAAAUAUGUAAUUAAUCUUACACUACUCCACGAUAUAAUUGAAUCGGAAACGAAAUAUAAUUUUGCAUCGGUGGGUAAAGUUGUUGUUACUUUAAAAAAAGAAAAAAAAGAUAUAUGGAAUAGAUUAUUGUUAUCUAAAGAGAAAAAUCCCAAUAUGCAUGUUUGGUGGGACAUGAAAGAAAAGUAUCAAGAUAGCAUUGACGAGUUUUUAAAAGAACAAGAGAACAAGGAAACAGAAGAAACGGAAAAGGAAAAAAAAAAUAAACAUGAAAGUGAGCACGAGCACAAGCACGAACAUGAACAUGAACAUGAACCCAUUAAAACAGAUGAUAACACAACAGAAAGUCAAAAUAAACAAAACGGUCAAAAUGGAAAUGGAAAAGAAUCGAGUGAACACAUUGACAAUAAACAAAACCAAGGGGUAAAUCUAAAAAAUAAUGAAGAAUUAUAACUUCAACGUAUAAUUAAUAAUAUACUGGGAAAUCGUUUUGUGAACAUAUAUAUAUACAAAAAAAAAAAAAAAAAAAAAAAAUUAAAUUAAUUAAAUAAAAAAAAAAAAAAAAAAGGAUUUAAAAAAAAU
rnacentral:lncRNA from 1 species